UUUCCGUAGGUGAACCUGCGGAAGGAUCAUUACAGAGUUCAUGCCCUCACGGGUAGAUCUCCCAACCUCGAAUAUUUAUACCUUAGUUGCUUUUGCAGGCCGUGGAAACACCGCGGGCUCCGGCUUAUGCGUGCCUGCCAGAGGAAACACACUCUGUUUUUAGUGAUGUCUGAGUACUAUAUAAUAGUUAAAACUUUCAACAACGGAUCUCUUGGUUCUG
rnacentral:misc_RNA from 1 species